rnacentral:rRNA from 1 species
CGUACAUCCAGAGAAUUUAGCAGAGGAUGCUUUAGUGCCUUCGGGAACUCUGAGACAGGUGCUGCAUGGCUGUCGUCAGCUCGUGUUGUGAAAUGUUGGGUUAAGUCCCGCAACGAGCGCAACCCUUAUCCUUUGUUGCCAGCACGUAAUGGUGGGAACUCAAAGGAGACUGCCGGUGAUAAACCGGAGGAAGGUGGGGAUGACGUCAAGUCAUCAUGGCCCUUACGAGUAGGGCUACACACGUGCUACAAUGGCGCAUACAAAGAGAAGCGACCUCGCGAGAGCAAGCGGACCUCAUAAAGUGCGUCGUAGUCCGGAUUGGAGUCUGCAACUCGACUCCAUGAAGUCGGAAUCGCUAGUAAUCGUAAAUCAGAAUGUUACGGUGAAUACGUUCCCGGGCCUUGUACACACCGCCCGUCACACCAUGGGAGUGGGUUGCAAAAGAAGUAGAUAGCUUAACCUUCGGGAGGGCGUUUACCACUUUGUGAUUCAUGACUGGGGUGAAGUCGUAACAAGGUAGGCGUAGUGCU